CGGUGACCUCAGCGCCGCUGGGCGGGCGCGCCCCGAUGGAAACCUGCGUUUCCCGCGGCCCCUCGUUGUUUGUUUAUUUCCCAACGCCCCCGGGGUUUGUAAAUACCAGGCGGGGCUUCCCGCGCUGCGCGGGCGGGGCGCCGGGGAAGUAAGGCAAGGCAAAGCAAAGCAAAGCCAAGCCAAAAUACAGCGCUUUUGCAGACGGAGCGGUAACUCACGGGCUGUUAGAGCCGGUUCUUCCUAAACCCGGCCUGGAAAGCUGUGCGCUUGACCGUGUUCAUAAGGAUGCACGAAGAAAGCAGCGCUUAGGGAGACUUACAUCCUUGCUAGCUCUUGCCAUCAAAUAUUUUAACGAAGUGGUAUAUCGGUGAUGACCACAAAUGAAAAAAAGAAAAAAAGUUGCUUAAAAAAACCCAAAUAACGAUUCAUGUCUGUUGGGAAAGACUCAAGGAUAUCUUCUCUGUAGUGCGUUUCUAAUUAAAAUAAGUUUUAUAUGUAUUGCAUUGUUUUCGGUCAGGGUAAAUGAACGUGCAUAAUCUCUGAACUUGUUAGGCUUGUAUGUUUUAAGGUUGUGUGGAGUUUGGGAAUUUACUUCAGAUUGGAAUGUUCUUCAAAAACUCUGCUGAAGUGGUCAUAAUGAAUUCUGCCUGUAUUUUCAAGGGCCUGGGCUUCAGCCCCCCCGCACACUCCCGUAACGACUGGAUCGGGCCCCCCGACAAGCACUCCAACCUGCGGCCGGUCAUCUUCUACGUGCCCCCUGAGGAGUCGCCCCUGGAGCGGCGGCUGCGGGAGGCGCGGCAGGAGGCCCAGGCCUGCGACCAGCGCUUCUGGGCACGGCACAACCGCGCCUUCUGCCAGGAAAAAGAAGAAUUUAUUUAUUCGAGACUGAAAGCCAAGGGUCUGGAAAUGAGAGAUGAAACAGGUCAAAAAGCAACACUGAAUGCAGAAGAAAUGGCUGACUUUUACAAGGACUUUCUAAGUAAAAAUUUUAGAAAGCAUAUGCAGUACAACAGAGAUUGGUAUAAACGUAACUUUACUAUCACAUUCCUCAUGGGACAAGUAGCACUGGCGAGAGGUCUGAGGUGGCUUCGUUGGAAAAAGAAAAGCGUUGGAAAUGAGUGAUCACAGCUCCAUGAAGAAUGCAAUGCUAGGUAGGCCUGCUAUAAACUUGUUGUUUAUAAUGAUGUUCAGAAUCUGAAUGACUGAUGUAACAAUUGCUUGAAUCUUUGUUAAACUGUGUAAAUAAAAGUAGCCAUUGGUCCUAAUUUCUAGUCACUAUGUAGAUUUCCUUUAUCUUUUAUUCCAAGAAUAUCCAAAAUAUUUCCCAACCAAAACACAACUGAGAAAACUACUAAAAGCUGUUCCUUUUUUAUGUUAAAUGGGAGGUAUCACAACUGUCACGUUUUUACCACAGAGUCAUAGCUCCUAACGUGAUUCUGUAUGCUGUACCUGAACUCCGGUCAGAGAAUGGUGUCUCCACCAAGCAUAUUAGUAUCUAAAGACAAAAAUGCCUCAUUUUGUGGCAGUUGUCUGUCUGGGUCAGUAGCUAUCCGCAAGUAAUACAGCAUGGCUGAAGGAACAAGUGUGAUUCGGCUUUUUAUCUUACAGUGUAUAAGCUUUGACCACAAUGCAUACACACUUCAAUAAAUAGUUCCAAUGUAAAAGAAUGCUUGGAUAAUAUAAGAAAAUACCCCUGAAAGGCAGAGACCAGAACCCCAAUGGACUGGUGGUUGAUAGCCAUAUGUUCUGACAGCCUCUGCAAAAGAUCCCUAAGCAAUUCCCCAGAGCUUCCCCAGGAGACUGUUGUUAACUGAUGUGACAGAGUGAACUGCUCCGUGUAACCAAAACACCUCAAACAGUCCAGGUGGUUUAGGUGAUGCUGGUGGUGUAGAGAACCGUGGUGGCACAGAUUUUUUCCCUGAAAGAAAUUACUGCAAGCUCUACUUCCUGUGAAUUGUACUAUGCCCAGCUGGCCGUGAAGUCAAAGGUCAAGGAGCCCUGCUUUAAAUUCCUAUCUUCAGUGAUUUGUCCUCUGAAGCAAAAUGGUAGCCUCAGAAUAUCUAUGAUGAUCUACAUACUGAUGAGGUAAGCGCCUUCUCCUUACCUAGCUCCUGCAUAAAUUACAACUUGCCCAAAUUGAGUCUAGCCUUUUUGGCUCAAGGAGAACCUUCAGAACAUGAUGUGAUGCAGCAGUAUCUGCCAAACUUGACAAAUUAAUAGCAUCUCCUCACUGCUUUUUUUUUUAUAUACUGGUCUCUAAAGCACCUAUAGACAGAUGUAUGAGGAAUUCCUUUCUUCAGAAACUGGCACCUACAAGGCUAGUUCCUAAGGCCUCCAUUCACAUCCCCUCACAUAGGGGGUAUAUACUAAGUGUGGAUGGGCUAGGUUACAGAUGGACCCCGUGGAGGUCCUGGGCAGAACUAUCACAUGGAAGCCAGGUCCUUGUGGUUGUCUAAAUCACACAGGGGGCAGAGAAUAGUAUAGCACUGGGAAGGCACAAAGGUUAUUUAAAACCAUUCUCUCAACCCCUUCUCAUCUGGGCUAUUAGACUGUUCUAGACUUUUUGGAACCUGUCCACAGACUGAGUUCUUCAACAAUAUUUGCCCUCGGGUAACCGACAGACGAGCCUGUAGAGAUAAAACAUAUCCUCCAACCCGGGGGAGUGAAUUAUGCAAUCAUCUCACUCAUGUUUUAAGUCUUAAGACUUGAUAGUGGUGAUGUACAUGUCUUGUUUUCUUAUCAUUGUGAAGAUACAGAAGUAGUAAAGAGUAUUGACUGUGGCACGUCUUUGAACUUAAUACCUUUCAAUGGAUUUCUCUGUGAACUGGCAAGAACAUGUUCCAUUGAAGCAGGUAAAAAAAGGUAGAAUUACAACAGAAAAGAUAGGAAUUACAACAUCUGAAACGGAAGCAUAAGCUUCACAGGACAUACCUGCUGUGGGAACAGGGAAGCAUCAGGGAGAGACAAUUCGUAUCUAAACCCCUGGGAAUUAGAUCAUCUCUCCUUAUCCUGCAUCUGCUCUAUUUCCCGGGAGAGAGCGGAUGAGGAACAAAAUCCCUGGCACAGGCAGUUCUGUUUCCUAUUGAUUUCUAGAGUGACUCUGCCCUUCUCAGCCCCACGUACUAUAUACCAUCCAUCUAGCCACAGGCACAUUCACAGAAGCCAUUUUCUGCAGGGACAUAAUUUAUCAUUGGCACAGAAAGAGUUGUCGCACAGCAGAAGCAUUUACAUUUCCCUUUCCCUUGGGGCAAACUGUAUUACCAUGAAGUCCCCAGUCCAGUGCAGCCUUGGUUUGAAUACCCUCUUAAUCAAGGCAAACUCCAACAAUGAAAAGCAGAUGUAAAAUGGCCUCCCAUGUUAAAUGAGAUUUCCAAUCCACCUUGGAUGCCAAGUGAAUUUGGUGUAAUUCCAUAUAGAGUAUUAGUUGAGGAGGAGAGAAAAGCAUUUAACAGAAGAACUGAAAGGGGAAUAAGGGUUUGGCAUGCAGCGUGUGCAGAAAAGGAAUACAUCAAGUGAAAGGGAGAUUACUGAUAAAUCAGAUGUGGGAACAAUAAUUUUCAGUAGUGAUCAUGGCACAAACCAUUGGAGCACAUUAGGCUCAAAAAAGAUGAAGCAAAUGGGAGCAGCGAAGGGCGAGUUGAAUAAUCCGGGGGAUUAAGAGUUCAAUUUGUUUAGCCAAGCAAACUGAUGAUUGGGGGGAGAAAGGAGCGCAGAAUCUCCUAGACAGAUGAGUGGAGGAAGGACCAGCUAAGAGGGCUACCCAGGGAAGAAUCUUCUUUCUCUAUAAUAAUUUAAUCAAACAUGUAAAAGAGAAGCAUUACAUUUUGAGAACCUCCUUAGAAAUGCAAACACGUAGAGAAAUGGGGCUAAUCACUAGCAAGGGAGAAGAGCUGGAAAGAAAUGACACAAUUUGGCACCGUAUCUCUAUGUAUAUAUUACCCUUGGGACUGACACCGGAGGAGUGAGGUUCUUGGGCAGGAAGGGCAAGAUGCCUCCUUGUUUUUCAAUAGAGUUUGAUAAUUACAUUUAGAAAAAGACCAGACGAGGUGGUUAUCUGUCAUGCCUCCCAGACUUUGGAGACUUAGUUCUCUUUCAUCAGUAGGUGCAAAUUUCUACUUGGAAAAGGUCACAUACAGGCAUACACUGGCAUUAGCAUUUCUUGUGAUUAGCAUAUGCAUGAGCUUUAAUAAAAGACAGCAUCUCAAAAAUCACAGCUUCCUUCUUUCAUAAAUAUAUGUAGGAAUCUUAGUGAGAGUGAAGAGAACACAUCUUUUAUACCUCCAUGAGGAAGCACCGGUUUCCCUGGUGCAGAGACAAGUUUAUGUCCCAGUCCGUGCCUCUGCCUAAUGCUGGCUGGAAAAAGGAAUGCCUUUCUCACACUUUCAAAGAUACACUUUUCCAAAAAAGAAAAAUCUCAUGCUGGUUAAUGAAAUUAUCCCAGAUUUAGACUGAUGUGUGACUGAAAUUAAAAUCUCAGCCCUCACAGGUUUUUUUAGGGGAAAAAACACUUUUCAUAAUGAAACUCUGAGGGUACCUAGAAGUCUCCUUCACCAUAGAAAAAACCCUACAACCACUACCAAGAUUAUCAAGGUAAGAGUCUCACCUAAUCCAAUUGCAAGUAAUCUGGCAGCAAAGCCUGAUGAGUUAGCAAAUCUCCAUAAAGGAAUGCUGACAAACCGCGUAGGUAACAAGCAGCUGGUGUUCAAAGAAAGGGAAGGGGAUAAUUUAAGUAGUAAUAAAGCAGGCACUUAGAAAUCAGUAGAGGUGAUCCUUUUGUUUUCUGCUUUUAGCUAAGCGUUCCUGCAUUUGAACACACAGACGAUCAAAGAUACUGUGUUUGGAAGAGUCCGUUUGUUGUGUUUGUGGAAUUAACUUUUUUCCUAUCAAUACUAGGCCUUAUCCCAAUAGAAAGGUAAAGAAAGGGAGCAGUCAUAGUUGGGAAGUAAAGAUACGGGAGGGUGAAGAGAAGUACUGUAUCACACACUGAAUAUUCUUACUCUCGUAGUGGCCAAGAUUGUGAUAUUCCACCAGCAGUGUUCUUUUAUUUCCUCAGAAGGAUUUAACACACUUCUGCAAUGGUUCGGUGACUGAGGUAGGUGAAUACAGAAAUAAAUGUAACUUCCUGUGACUCAUACACAGUGAUUAAUAAUUCCCAUAACCUUGAAUGAGCAAUUGAAACCCUGAGACAGAAUAAACUCACUGAAAAGUGAGACUAUGGAGGAAGCAAAGGAGGAGCUUAAAUGGAAUGCUAUCUUUCUUCAUGUAUAAGCACUAAAGAUCAUUCAGAGUGAGUACAGAGAAGAAACUCUUUCCAAGCUAGAAAGGUGCUGGUAGUCAGCUAUCAGCUGACUACAGAACAUGGAAGCAAGGAAGGAAGGAAGUUGCUUCAUCUUUCAAUGAAGUGAGAGGUGUGGCAGAAGUAAAGAAGGAACAGAAAUUUCUGGCUGAGCAGAGUAAGUAUGUAUUGGUGGGAGCAUUCUUUCUGGAGAGGUGGGAACCUACUCCUUGACUGCAGGCAGUAAAGACACAAGUCUAAUUAUCAUCACAAGCUCUCCUCUGCAUACCCUUAACUCGCUGGGAAUUUUGAUGCUUAAAAGUAGGGUCUUGGAAAACCUAACACUGUCUGUAAAUUCAUAAAGCACAGAAUAUUAUAGUUUGUCAAAGGGUGCAAUUC